UAUUCACCCAUUUGGUUGACCAAAAUACGGAAACUAAUGCGAGAAAAUAUAGUUUUCUUGUUAUGUCAUUAAUGGCUGGGGAGCUGCUUUGUUUACUGGAUUGUUACACUGGGUUUGACAGGUAAGAGGAUGCAGUUAGUGAAUAUGUGCACUUGGUUUACACUGGAUACUGCAUACUGUCCCCCAGAGCACC